GUGAAUUUAGUUUAAUUAAAAUAUUUAUUCUGCACAUGAAAGAUAAAGGUUUAAAUCCUUCAAUUCACA
rnacentral:tRNA from 1 species